GACGGAACCAAACUGGAAGUCAAAGGCAUCGCUGAGAGGAGGAAAGAGAGGAAAACAAACGCAUUAUCGAUCCCCAACUCUACUCACUGGAUCAUGCUGAUGUAGGUCUCCACGUUCAUCAUGUCACCAUCUCUCCAGUCGUUCUUGAAGCCCAGCACCAGGGUGUUUGGUUUGAGGCGGCCCAGACCAGCAGCCUUCAGAGACAACAACAUUAUUUUAACUUCUAUUUUAUUUCUGUCUUUUCUAGAAAACACAAACACUGUUAUUCUGGAGCACAAAGGUUAAAACAGGACGUUCUGAAGAUUUAGAGUUAAAUAAGUUGUGAACAUGACGGUGGGGGAGGAGCAUGUUUAUAUAAUAUAAGUGUGACAUCACUUCCUGCUUAAGACGAGGUGAUGAUUAUUUGCUUGAUUAUAAAAGGUCGAUCAGUUACCUGCUGUGACUGUUCGUAUUAUAUUAAAAGGACAAAACAGUGACUGCAAACUGAAUUUGGCUGAAAAAAUGA